rnacentral:rRNA from 1 species
ACUCCUACGGGAGGCAGCAGUGGGGAAUAUUGCACAAUGGGCGCAAGCCUGAUGCAGCCAUGCCGCGUGUAUGAAGAAGGCCUUCGGGUUGUAAAGUACUUUCAGCAGUGAGGAAGGUGGGUAUGUUAAUAGCAUACUCAUUUGACGUUAGCUGCAGAAGAAGCACCGGCUAACUCCGUGCCAGCAGCCGCGGUAAUACGGAGGGUGCGAGCGUUAAUCGGAAUUACUGGGCGUAAAGCGCAUGCAGGUGGUUUGUUAAGUCAGAUGUGAAAGCCCGGGGCUCAACCUCGGAAUUGCAUUUGAAACUGGCAAACUAGAGUACUGUAGAGGGGGUAGAAUUUCAGGUGUAGCGGUGAAAUGCGUAGAGAUCUGAAGGAAUACCGGUGGCGAAGGCGGCCCCCUGGACAGAUACUGACACUCAGAUGCGAAAGCGUGGGGAGCAAACAGGAUUAGAUACCCU